rnacentral:rRNA from 1 species
ACGCUGGCGGCAGGCCUAACACAUGCAAGUCGAGCGGAAACGACACUAACAAUCCUUCGGGUGCGUUAAUGGGCGUCGAGCGGCGGACGGGUGAGUAAUGCCUAGGAAAUUGCCUUGAUGUGGGGGAUAACCAUUGGAAACGAUGGCUAAUACCGCAUAAUGCCUACGGGCCAAAGAGGGGGACCUUCGGGCCUCUCGCGUCAAGAUAUGCCUAGGUGGGAUUAGCUAGUUGGUGAGGUAAUGGCUCACCAAGGCGACGAUCCCUAGCUGGUCUGAGAGGAUGAUCAGCCACACUGGAACUGAGACACGGUCCAGACUCCUACGGGAGGCAGCAGUGGGGAAUAUUGCACAAUGGGCGAAAGCCUGAUGCAGCCAUGCCGCGUGUAUGAAGAAGGCCUUCGGGUUGUAAAGUACUUUCAGUUGUGAGGAAGGGGGUARKYUUAAUAGCKSYRYMUCUUGACGUUAGCAACAGAAGAAGCACCGGCUAACUCCGUGCCAGCAGCCGCGGUAAUACGGAGGGUGCGAGCGUUAAUCGGAAUUACUGGGCGUAAAGCGCAUGCAGGUGGUUCAUUAAGUCAGAUGUGAAAGCCCGGGGCUCAACCUCGGAACUGCAUUUGAAACUGGUGAACUAGAGUACUGUAGAGGGGGGUAGAAUUUCAGGUGUAGCGGUGAAAUGCGUAGAGAUCUGAAGGAAUACCAGUGGCGAAGGCGGCCCCCUGGACA